AGCUUGAUUUGGUGUUUUUGCAGAGCUGAGGAGGGAGAUGAAGGCAAUUUUGUCAGCAGCAAAUGUCAUUUAAAGGCAGAGAGAGCAAAGAUGACAAAGAUGGCUGUGGGAGGUGGGUAAUCCUGGUUCAUGUUUUUAAUGGAGAAUCCAGAGGUGGGAAAUAGCAAGUGAGAGAACCUGUGGGAAACAAGGCACAGCUGGGAGACAAAGCUGAAGGAGGUCGUGGAGUUCAGGCAGAGCUUUGGGGAGGUAAUAUGCAGUCGAUGCCUUGCAACAUUGUGCUGCAGUUUCCUUCCAGUCAUACAAACAUGGCAUACUGUAGAAGGAGACCCUGGAAAGCACAGGUCUGCACGGGCAGGUUAAACGAUGGAGAAUUGGCUUUCAUGCUCCAGAGCACCUGCUGAUUCUCAGGGGGCAAGGGCUUGGCCAUAAUUAGAGCUCAUGCUGACAUGGAGUAGAUGUGGUGAAGAAAGUGAAUCGAGACUGAGUUUGGACUGAGAUUAUCUGAAAUCUGUUCUCAGCUCAGCUGAGAUUCUACUUGUCUCUGCUUGAAUGAAGAAGACCACAUUAUUUGUUUGUUUGGAGGAGAGGGAAUGUAUGGAACACCUUGCGAGCCAUCAAGAGCUGCUGGGAAACCAAAGUGUGUUCUCUGUUCAUCAAGCUGGAAAGUCUUUGUGUUUCCUGUUGUUUUUCCUCUGGGCUUUAUAAGUAACUUGUGGAUGCAAAAAAUGUUCUAGUGCUUUAGCUCUGUUCUCAGGAUUGCAUGGUGAGUUAGCUUCUAGAACAUACACCAGCCAAAUGACAGUUCUUUUGGUCCAUUGCCACAUUUGUUGUGGUUUCAAUGAUUCUGAAGAAAGUCCUGCAUAUUAAAAUCAUAGAAUCAUAGAA